GAAAUCGGACACCUACUUUCUCAACCCUUCCCAAACAGUCUUAUCUGCACUUCCAGCUGUCACUAUAACACUAUACAAAACAUUAACGCGCAAUUCAGACUUUAACUGCAGCAACUGACUCCACAAGUUCAGACGAUCGACAUCGAUAAAAAGUCGCCGUAAACUUGCGGUUCAAGAAAACAAACUUGAAGAAACACGGACGGAGGGCGGGAGGAAAGGGAAAGCCAGAGGGGUGUUUCCUCUCCAGCCGACUGCAGAGGAAGGAUUGAAGUAGUGAGAAAUAAUUCAUUAAACAGCGUCAAAUGUUGAAAUACAUUGAAUUUUAGCUGACAGUCGCGAUGUCGACAUCAGUUUUACAAUAAAAGCCUGUCUAUGCAGGACUAGCAUCACUCUCCAACGGAUGGAGGAGAAUCCAGACAGCGGCAGGUAUUAUGAGAGGACCACUGAUGACCCCUCACCCUCGGGCCAGGGGACUAAAGAGCAAAGUGAGGAGUCCCCCCUGGGUGAUCACGACCUACCCAUCAUGCAAUGGGAAGAUUUAAGUUUGCGGAUUGCAGAGCUAGAAAGGCAGGAAGAGGAAAGAAGGAAAAAAGCAGAGAGUCUAGGUUUAUCAGAGCGAGACAGAAUACUUGGAUGCUGGACAGAAUCAAAACAGCAUUCACUCCAUCGAGAGCCAUGGGCGGAUGAGAACGACUACAGUCCCUGCCGUGUCCCUGUCAUAACGUCACGGUUUAAUAGUCCUAAAAACCUUCAGCUGUGUUUCAUCAACAACAGUGAGAGUGAGGAGGAGGAGGAUGACGAAGGAGCAUCUAGCAAAGAGAGUUCAUGUGAGGCAGAGGUACGUGGGAGUUGCUCUCGGGGGCUAAAACAGGAAGUAAAAGCAGCACUCGGGACUCUCAGAGACAAGCUAUGGGCCGAACAGAAGGAGAAAGAGCAAGCCACCCACAGUAGCAUGAACAUAAGGAGAAAUAUUCUUAGCCUUAGUGAUCUGCAGACAUGCUCUUUACUGCAGCUGAAUGCGCUCAGGGCCUCGCUGAACGAGGACAUUCAAGAUUUGAGCUCAGAACUGGUGAAACAUCUCGUAGUACGGGACCACCUUCGGACUAAGCAAGAUGCUUUGCUCCUGGAUGUACAGGAUAUGACAUCAUUAUGAACGAUCUUUUUGUUUGGAACACUGUGUAACUGCAGUUUAACGUUGGCACUUUCUGAAAGCAGUCAUUUACUGUUACUCAUCCUGUGGACUAACAAAGGCCAGAAUAUCCUGUUUAUUCUUGAAGAAAUGUAGCCCUCACAGAAACUUUUGUUCAAAUGUGAGUCACAUUUAUUAUAGUCACAAGUUUUAUUGUGGGAAAAAGUGCCUUAUAACAAACUCUAAUGGCUCUGAUCAUAUGUCACUUACAGUUUAAUUUUACUUCCAUAAAUAGAGAAUAUAUUGAGCUGCUGUCAAAGCCAUAUGUGAUCAAUAACUGUGAUGUAUUAAUCAUCAGUUACUUUAAGCAUUCCAUUGAAAUACAGUAUAUGUAAUCGCCAUGAAAUGCCGUCAUAUGAAUGUGCCUUAUAACUUUCCUGUGUAUCGAACUUAUACAUGAGAAUGAAGUAUAUCUCAGUGCUAAAUAUUCACAAUAAUUUAAUAAAUCAUUUAUUUUAUGCACAGUCGUUGGGACAAGCGGUUAUGCCAUACAUACUCUGCAUUAAAAGAUACUUAAGUUCCUUUUGUGGUUCCUUAUAGAUUAAAGUCAGAAUUAAUGUUGUGAUAUUUUUUCAAUUGAUUUUUUAUGAAAAAUAAAUAAUAAAUAAAGUAAUGCACAUUUUUAUACAUUUGUAUGAAUAAAUGUGUACUUUUUUGACU
ensembl:lncRNA schwannomin-interacting protein 1-like